GCCUGGGUGGCUCAGUCGGUUGAACGUCUGACUUUGGCUCAGGUUAUCUCAUGGCUCGUGGGUUCGAGCCCCGCUUUGGGCU
rnacentral:tRNA from 1 species